rnacentral:rRNA from 1 species
UACGAAGGGGGCUAGCGUUGUUCGGAAUUACUGGGCGUAAAGCGCGCGCAGGCGGUCUUCCAAGUCAGUGGUGAAAGCCCGGAGCUCAACUCCGGAACUGCCAUUGAAACUGUGAGACUUGAGGAUGAGAGAGGUGAGUGGAAUUCCCAGUGUAGAGGUGAAAUUCGUAGAUAUUGGGAAGAACACCAGUGGCGAAGGCGACUCGCUGGACAAGUAUUGACGCUGAGGUGCGAAAGCGUGGGGAGCAAACAGG